GGAAGGAACAGCACAACGCCACAGACUGAAAUAAGUGAAGCAUGGUCUAAAAGAUUUCCCUUUUCAGCAGAACCAAGAAACCCCAGCAACGCUGCAUCACCAUAAUCUCCUGAGAGCAGUGCAUACCUCGAAACUAUCAUAGAAACCGUGAAAAUGGGUAAUGACGGAUCAGCGGACAGGGCGCGUCAUUUGGAGUGGGAAAGAAAUGAAGAAGAAAAGAAAAGAAUUGAAGAAGAAAAGAGACGAGUAGAAGAAGAAAGGAGACGAUUAGAAGAAGAAAGAAGACGAAAGGCAGCAGAAAAUGAAUUACAGCACAUUAAAAAUGAGAAAGCAAGGAAAGAAGAAAAAGAAAAGGAGAGAGAGGAGGAGAAAAGAAAAGUGAUAGAGCAGCAAAGAGAAAUAGAAAGAAAGGAAAAACAGAGGCUUCAGAACAAGUAGAGCAUCUAGAUUAAAUGUUGAGUGAUGUAUAUAAGUAUAUAAGUUGUGAAUCAGAUCCGUCU